rnacentral:rRNA from 1 species
AUUUUGGACAAUGGGGGCACCCCUGAUCCAGCAAUGCCGCGUGAGUGAAGAAGGCCUUCGGGUUGUAAAGCUCUUUUGUCAGGGAAGAAACGGUGAGAGCUAAUAUCUCUUGCUAAUGACGGUACCUGAAGAAUAAGCACCGGCUAACUACGUGCCAGCAGCCGCGGUAAUACGUAGGGUGCAAGCGUUAAUCGGAAUUACUGGGCGUAAAGCGUGCGCAGGCGGUUAUACAAGACAGAUGUGAAAUCCCCGGGCUCAACCUGGGAAUUGCAUUUGUGACUGUAUGGCUAGAGUGUGUCAGAGGGGGGUAGAAUUCCACGUGUAGCAGUGAAAUGCGUAGAUAUGUGGAGGAAUACCGAUGGCGAAGGCAGCCCCCUGGGAUAACACUGACGCUCAUGCACGAAAGCGUGGGGAGCAAACAGGAUUAGAUACCCUGGUAGUCCACGCCCUAAACGAUGUCUACUAGUUGUCGGGUCUUAAUUGACUGUGGUAACGCAGCUAACGCGUGAAGUAGACCGCCGGGGGAGUACGGU